rnacentral:rRNA from 1 species
CCUACGAGCGGCAGCAGGGAGGAAUAUUGGUCAAUGGACGAGAGUCUGAACCAGACAAGUAGCGUGAAGGAUGACUGCCCUAUGGGUUGUAAACUUCUUUUAUAAAGGAAUAAAACGAGGCACGUGUGCCUUUUUGCAGGUACUUUAUGAAUAAGGAUCGGCUAACUCCGUGCCAGGAGCCGCGGUAAUACGGAGGAUCCGAGCUUUAUCCGGAUUUAUUGGGGUUAAAGGGAGCGUAGAUGGGUUGUUAAGUCAGUUGUGAAAGUUUGCGGCUCAACCGUAAAAUUGCAAUUUAUACUGGCAGUCUUGAGUACAGUUGAGGUAGGCGGAAUUCGUUGUGUAGCGGUGAAAUGCUUAGAUAUCACGAAGAACCCCGAUUGCGAAGGCAGCUUACUAAACUGUGACUGACAUUGAUGCUCGAAAGUGUGGGUAUCAAACAGGAUUAGAUACACCUGUAGUC